CUUCCCAUCUCCGCCUCAGGCUUGCUUCAGCUGCCUGUGUGUCAUCGCUGCGAGCCACAGGCAAGGUAAAACAAGCCCGAGGCAGGUGGGUGG
ensembl:miRNA pma-mir-1788b pma-mir-1788b